CCAAGGGCAGGUGCAGGGGGCGGCUGAAGGUGGGCCGUCCCGUGCUCGUCGUGGUGGCCCGCGGCCCUGUGGCGACGGUGGUGCAGGGUUCUGAGUGUUCCUGAUGGCUGGCUAAAUGGUGCUCCUUGGAGCUGGAACAGGAGGAUUUGGGCUAGCUACCAGAACCAACUUCCUGAGCACCCCACAAGACUCUAAAAUGAAUGCCCAGGGGACAUUCACUAGAGUCCCAGUGGAUUCAGACAGCAUUUGCCGAGAGCCCGAUGUAGGCUGGACCACUCGCGUUAACCACGUGAAACCUCAGAGGAUUAACACGUUAGGCCAGCAGCCGGUGUCUCCCUAUGGAGGACAAAAACCGAGCCUCAGAGAAGGGAGAAAACCAGGCCGGAGCUAGCACGAGUGGAGCUGGACUGCAACCCCAGGCUCCGGCCGGCCACUUGUGGGCUGGAAAGCCAUGUGCGGAUGAGACUCAGAAAAUCACCUGCUUUGAAGGGAGACGGAGCGUGGUGCCAAUCUCGUUCGUGAAUUCUUUCUGUUCUGAGCAGUGCCCUGGCCUUGCUUGGCAAUGACAGAAUCAUGCUCAUGGGCAAACCCCUAUUCACAGGGGAGGCCAUAGGCUUCUCCCCACCGCCAGCAGACCUGGGGCCAGGUCGUCACUGUGGGGUUUCUGAGACCCUGCUCCCUACAGGCACGCCAGAGGUCUUUCCAGAAUGUGCAGAGAGCGCAGUGUGGAUCAGGUGUGCCCGUCUUUCCCUCCUCACUUGCCUUGGCUCCCAGCUCGUGGGCUCUGUCCUCUGGGUCCUGGCUCCCUGGCUGCUGCAGGAAGAACCAAGCUGGAGGAAGUCGGCGGCUCCAUUCCUGAAGGCACAGAGGCCACAGGCCCAGGAGGAUGGAGACCCCGGCCUGCUCCACUCGUGGAUCCGGCUGGCAGCAGCAGGGCCUCCAUGAGCAAGGGCGGCAGACCACAAAGACCACAUCUCAGGUGGAGCAGUCUUCUCUGGAUCUGUUGGCUUCCGUGAAUUCUCCAUGAAGACACAAAGCCUGACACCAGCUCUGAGGGGCAAGGCAGUGUGGAGGCUCCCACCGGUGAGAGAUGGGGGCGGGGGGAGAUGACCCAUGCACCUGUGUUCCGGCGCUCUGACAAGGUGAACGUUUAUGACACGCGCUAGAGCUCCUGCUCCCUGCACGUGACCUGCAGGCUGCGCAGGAUGGGAGCAUCAGCGAAGCAGCUGGGCGCCCAGCCCCCCGCCCCGGCCCUGGAGUCCUCGCUAUCAGUGUCUUCGUCAUGGGGAGCUUGGGUCCGGGCUCUUGUCUCGCAUGCAAGAAGGACUGCAAGGAUGGGACACGGGUAAAGGUCAGCGGAGGAGGGAGAUUGGUUUACACGCCAGGUGCAGGAGCGCGGGCCGGCUCAGAGGAGAGCUGCAGGCGGCAGCAGGGCCGGGGCUGUCUGCUCUGGAGGUGUGCGUGCGGGGCGUGGCUGGAGAGGGCUCCGUAGCAGGCUGCCCACUCUAGAGGCUGGGCUGUUGGAGCCACUUGCGGAAGCUCCGCAGCCGCAGCCCUCUGCUCUCCCAGUCCAUCUCCUCGGGUGGAAUGGUUGCCUUGUUGGUGUCCCCUGCAGUGAAUGACUUGUCUCAGUUAGGCAUCCCCAGUGCAGGGGCCAUUGUCAGCUGACCCUAAGCCUGUUGAAAGGCCCCGUGUUAGUUCCCUGUCUAUUCCAGUGGGUCAGUUUCAGCAGCCUUUAAGACAGUAGGCAGGGGUUUGGUUAUCAACCUCAAUCCUGGCAUCCAGAUCCCGCAACAGCCGGUCAUUCACAGGAAUGUUCUCGGCUGUCGCUUUGUAGGUGGUAGCCCAAUACAUGGUGUGGCUUCCCAUUGGGAGAUCCGGGUUUUGGUUGGGGAAACUUGAUAUCGCCAUUCCCCUAAAAGCGUUAAGAUCUGAAUGGUGUUUUCAACUGAGUCCUCCUUGAGGUGACUGUAGGUGAGGCCAUGUCUAUCUACUGGUAUCCUUCCUGCUAGGUGCUGUGUGGGUACUCAUUAGCAUGCUAAUAACAGAUUUCAGUGUAAGGAUGGCUGUCCCGAGAAAGCGCCCCUAGAGGGUCGCAGACCUGCCAGCGCCCGCAGAGGCUGGUGGGAGAUGACGGCGUCUUCCGUCCCGCAAGGCAGAGGCCAGGUGACCCGCUGGGAGAGGGGCUUGCCAUCAGCCCCCGUGAUGACACGACUCUGAGGACAGGGGCCCCAGCAGAGGAACUGGCACCCGCGUCAGUUAGAAAAUCGAUUUUCUUACCUGCCACAUCCGGGAGCGGGGUGGUCCCGAGGGCUGCGGGAGCUGCCUGAGUUCCCAGGCCCCAUCAGUCCUUGGAUUAGGACACGAGGCAACCGGGCCUCCUCCUGUCCCCCAGGAACUGCGUGUGAGCAGGUUUCCAGCGCCCUCCUUGUUUCCAGUGGGGCCAGGGGCCAGGUGGGCUUCUCGGGUGGGGACAGUCCUUGCACCAAUGUCCCGUCCUCCCACACCCAGAACAUUCUCCCUUGGGCUUCUCUGCCUGGUUCCAGUGGCUGCUGCCGUGUGGACAUUGGAGCCCUCUGCACAGCAGCUUUGCCUCUAGUCCUGGUCACCCCGCAUGCUGCAUCCAGCAGCUGUUCCUGGGGGUCUGGGACCCCACAGCCCGUCUCUGGAGUUCCCUCCGGAUAUCCCUGGCUGGCUGAGGUACGCAGUAGGACAUGUGCUAGGGAUUGUGUGAGUGUGUCUGUUGAAUCUCUUUAAGGCCUCUCCCAGCCAUCCCUGGCUAAAGGCGGAUUCUCUUGUCCCUAUACUGUGUUACCUCCCUGACUUUGUCACCCAGGGAACUCAGCAGCACAGCACAGCCGAGCGUCCCCUAGGGCCGUGGCCAUGCCACCUCUCAGACUCCCGACACGAGCUAGUCCACAGGACCUCCUUGUCCUGUCGUGCUGUGGGCCUCAGGGCAGGAUGAGCACGUGUUAGCAGGAGCAAGUGUCCCAUGGGCCCUUCUGAAGACAGUACCUAGGUCAUGAGAGUGUUGGGAGGUGGCACACAGAGCCUGCAUCUCUGCCCUGUGUACGGCUCUGAGCCGUAUCCCUUGGGGACCACUGUGAAUCCUCUGUUGCUAUUGGUGGUUCCCGUGAUAAUUCUGUGAAGUCACUUUUCCAUUUAUUUUUUUGAAUGAAUUCCAAGUACUCAUUGAGACCUGCUCAGACUGGAGUGAGACAGCCCCUGCUCUCUGCCCGGAGGAUGCAAAACCUCCGUGAUCCGUCUUUGUGGAUCCAUUUGACUGUAAGAUUCGGAAGAAAGGGCCAUUCACUAAGAGCCAUUGCCCCUCCCCCAGAGACCCAGAAGAGGAGAUAGAGAGGAGUGGGGGAGGCGUGGGCAGCCCAGGAAACACUGCACCCUCCUGGCAGCUUCCCCAGCUGGAGGCAGAGAGGCCCUGUCCUCCCCAGGGGGCGUCCCGCCCUCCCCUCCUCUCAGCUUGCCCAGUGCCCUCAAAGGCAAGGGUGGAGCUGGUGCCUGUUCACCUGAACGCCUAGUAGAUGAGACCCAGCUGUUAGACCCACUCUGCGGUCUGCUGCAUGAAGGCCUCUGGCUUUUGGGGCACACAGCAGCGUGGACUUCAUAUCUGGCUCCCACCUGCAGCUGUUGGCGUCCACACCCAGCUGAGCCCCCAUACCGUGACGUCAGGGCCCGUGGCACUCGGGGUCUCUUGUUCUCCAUUGGGAAUGUGCGGGGCAGUGGGUAUGGACUGUCUUAGCUGCUUUGAACUAUGCCUUAUUAGACACUAGAGUCUGC